GUGGCUUCUUUUUGGAGUGACAGCAAACGGCAUUUGAAAAGUGUUGAUACUCACGCUGUAGCUGUCCCAGGGCCACACACUGAUUGGACCAGGGACGGGUGCCCCACAGACCCUCAUGGGUUUAAGCCGAGUCUGCCUAAGUGUGGAACCUGAAGAACUAGAAGGAAAAUAUGCCCUUAAACGGACAAGUGUGUUAUGGAUGGAAUGUGUGUGUCGCUCUGAAAUUCGUAGGUUGUAGCCUCACCCUCGGGGGAGGAGAUUAGGGUUUGAUGAGGUCCUGAGGGCGGGGCCUCGUGCUGGGGGCUGGGGUGAGUGUCCUUGUGAGAACAGGCACCAGAUCCCACAAGCUCCCUCUCUCUUCCUGGGCCCACACAGAGAAGCCAAGCCCUGUGGGUGCCGUCACGACAGAGGCUGCGGCCCCCGGAGAAGGUGCCUCAGGCGAAACCAGCCCUGCCGGUGCCUUGGUCUUGGACCUCGGCCUCCAGACCUGCGGGAAGUGAGUGUCUGUUGUUCAAGCUGCCCAGUGGAUGGUACUUUGUUAUAGUAUCUUGGGCUGACUAGGACACGUGCCUUGGGAAGUUUGCUGCUGAAAUUCUGAAUGGAAAGAGUGACAACCAAAAUUAAAAUGAUCUGUGUGAAGUGACAUGCUUGUUCAUCAUUCAAUUUAACAUAGCAUUAAUAGACAGAGUAUUGCAAUUCUAUUAUCUUGAUUAUUCCGUAAAUCUUGGGCAGAAAUAAGGCAGAUAGGAUUUGUUCCUGUUUUAUAGACAGAGAACCUGAGAUGUGCAUUGCACACGGCCUGUGCCUUCCUGCAACGGAGGGGCAAGUGGAGCCCUCAUCUUCCCAGUCAGCAUCCUCCCCACCCCGCCUCCGGGCAUGGGAGCCAUUGCCACAGCCUGGGACCCCUCUACCUGCAGAAGCGAAUGCUUUUAUACUCCCAAGUGCAUAUUGAAAAGCCAAAGCUGCAGCGUUGUGCAAUGUAUUCCAUCAAAGUUUGGCGCGUUUUUCUUCAACGUUACGGUGCGGGUGACUGAGGACAGUUGUUGCGAGCGCUGCUUCUUGGUUCCCCGAAAUGGGAGGCGUCUUGUGCGGCUUCCCGGAGGCCACCUCAGGGAGGAUCGUGUUUCCAUGUGCAGUGAAGGAUUUGGGCGGGUAAAUCAAAUCGUCACAGCAAUGGCGGACUCCUUCAGGACACAAAGCCAAAGGACAGGGAUCUUUUAUUCGUUUCUAUUGAACACUGCAGAUUGAAGCUGGGUGCCUGAUGGACACCUGCUCACGUGCUUCUCUGUGAGUAUCUGCAUUGUCUCAAUUGCAAGUGUGCAUUUUGCUGAGAAUCACUGUUGCCCCCGAUGGGGUCCUGUCCUAUGGACUAUCCCUGUCUAGCUGGGAACUCGGUGCCAGGAGCUCAGCUGGCUCCAACGCUUCCCAUCCUGCUAAGUUCUACCCUGACUACAUUGGUAGGUAACACCUGUUUUCCUGCAAUACUUAAAUACUGUUUCUACCUGCACCUUCGGCAGCUAUGUGGCAGACAUUUAAUCAUUGUUAGGCAAAAAAGACCUAAAGAUAUUCUGUGAGCUACUGCACCCUGCCUGGCCACAUGUCUUGGAGAGCCCUACACAGAUUCAGAUAUUGUUAUUGCUUCUAUCCACUCUGCUAAACUAAGUCAUGGUUAAUAAAAUAUGAGAAUCAGUAAUUUCCAAGUUUCUAAGAGUUUAAAGUUAUAGGAAAUAAAAGACAUGAUGUAUUCCUCAGAGUAGACUCACUAUUGUAAUAACACCUCCGAAUUUUAGUGGCUUACCAAACUAAGAAUGUAUUGUUCACUUGCAUGGCUGUCAAACAUGGGCCAGAUGAGGGCUGUGCUCCACACCACCGCCCAGGAAUCUGGGAUCCUCCCUUGGGCUCCAGUAGCUUCGUGGACGUCUGCACAUGGAUAUAAACGAGGCAGCUGAGGGGAACUGGUGGGAUUUCAGAGGAGGUCUAGAGGCGGUGGCCAUCGCUCUCCCUCACAGUCUUCUGGCCAGGACUUGGUCACACAGCUGCACCUCACAGCGAGGGGCUGGGGAACGCAGCCUCACCCCGUGUCCAGGAAGAGGAGUGCCAUGCCGUGGUGAGAAUCUCCGCUCCUGAAGAGCACAUGGUUAGUGAUUUACACAUCCUGAUGUUGUGGUUUAGGGUCUCCUCCCACCGUGGGAGACAGCGGAAAACAGUGUGCAUUGCUUACGGUGAGGAAGCUGGUUCCUUGGCUGGUCUGUGGGUCACACGGCUCAUCUCCAUGGGGACAGCGGCCACUCUUCACCAUGCAUCUUGUUGCUGGAUUGCAACGGGAGCCAUGCCAUCGAUGCUUUGGGCAAAAUAGCUCAUGUGUGGCUCCUCACCAGCUGUGUGCAGUGGCACAGAUGCCCCACGAAGCUUAUAGCUGGGUGUCUUCACCUCACAAAGCCAUUUCCAGCUGGACAAGCCGGCCUCUUGGUGCUAAUGCGUCUGUAAAAGGCGAAGACCCUCUCAUCAUUCCGCGAGCCACAUGAUGGUGCUGUGUUUUUAUGCCUGUCUCCCAUAACAAGUGACACCAUUGAGAAUGAGUAGCAGGGGUAUCCAAUAGCUGUUACUUUGAAGUAAAAGGAUUUCACCGAUCCAGCUGCAGUGGGUCCCUAAACCAAGGGUUGCUUAACACACAAACUCACAGGUUGCAUCAUGGCCGUGGAGUACACUAGACUCAGCACCAGGACCCCGUCUGUCCUCACCAGCUGUGUGUAUGCCUUGGUGAGCUCCUUAAAUCUAAACACUUGAGUAUCCUUAUUUGUCAAAAGAGGAUUCGAAUUUUAACCCUGGAGAGCCAAAAAUACAAGAAUUACUUAAUGAAGGGGUUGUUGAGAAGCAAUAAACUGAAAGGUAAAUCAAAGCCCCAUGGCAAAUGCGAAUGGCUUGAAAAUGCAGGAAAUGCUUUCAUCCUGGAACAUCUGCUGUCAUACCCAAGUCAGGUCUGUGUCUCUGGAGGUGCACACGGAGCUGUCCCUGGUGGCAGCUUCUGCCAAGGACUGCGUGACCCCGGGGGCAGCCUCUGUUGAAGGCUGUGUGUUCCUGGUGGCAGCCUCUGCUGAGGGCUGCGUGGCUCAAGUGCACAUCCUGCCUCUUCCUGACUUCCUCUCUCUACUUCCCACUCUUACCCGGCACGUAAUAAAAUGUAAUCUACAUGAAUAUUAGGAUUUGGAUUUCUAUCUGGACACAUGUGAUUUACCCGUUAAUCAGACACCACCCACAUGAAUUAUUAUUAGAGAAAUAUUUAACAAAAGCUACAUAAAAACAGUUUUUGAAACUAUUUGGACUUCUCAUAACAUUCUUAAAAACCAAAGUUCAGUGUGUCUCCCAAAAUGAAAUAAAAUUACCCUGUUUUACAGAUGGUUUUGGGUCACUAAUAUAAAUUGAAGGAUCCAUUUUCAAGCCUGAAAGGCAGUGAAUGUAUGAAACAAUUUCUUAAUAAAUUCAUUUAUUCACGCACCCAUUUCUUCACGUGUCCAUCUGUGCAUUCAUCACUUACUGGACGCCUCCUGAUCACUAGCACCCACGACAGGCGCUUCCCAUCCGGCGAGGUGUACGGCCUGACUCACGCCCACGGGGACUCAUGGCCGUGAGAAAGUACAUACAGAAAUAACAUUCUAAAAUAAGUUCCAUGAGCUUAUUCCAUGAACCUAGCAGGUUCCAUGAGCUCAUGUUGCAGGGGUUGGAGACUGACUGAAUUGGGAGCGUUGGCCCUCGGGGUACAGAGUCCAGUCAGGGGUCGGGGAGACUGCUGGGGCUGCUUCUGCUGCUGUUCUGGGGCAAAUCUAGGACUCAGCAGGAGACAUUUUAAUUUUCCUUCCAGUUGAGAAACCCUCAUUAUUGCUCAAAUGCCUCCCCCACCUCAGCAAUCACCUCUAUGGCCAAGGUGGUCAGAGUGGAGGGGGCAGCUUCCUCCUGGAACCCUGUCAUGGCAAAGGACAACCACGAAAUCCUGGCCGGGUCCAAUCCAGGCUUAUAGCGUCAGGAACAGCAAGAAGCAGGAGAGUCUGCAAUGAACAUGUAAAAGUGUGGAGGCUGGGAAAGGGGUCAGCACAGCGAAUAAAGGAGGAAGUGUUUCCACUGACGGGCUGUUUCUCAACUGAGACGUGCCUUUCAGAUGUGUAAGCUUUAGUCAUGCUUAUCACAAUAAUGAAAUUUUACAGAUGAAAAAAAAUGGGCCUAAAGAGUUAGGUGAGUUGGCCGUGGAAUGUGGUUAGUUCAUGGGGAGGAUGGCGUGGAUUGAAGCCUGUCCUAGCAGGAAAGUUUAUUUAACUGCUCAUGAUGUCUCUCCAAAAAACAAGUAUCGUGCUUUCCACGUGUUUUAUCUUUCUUUUGCUCUCCUUCCCUGGCUUCCAACAAAGACCUUUUCUCCUUUUAAGUCGUGUCUUAGCUCAUAUGAGUCAGACAGCAGGUGGCAUAAAGCUGUGUUUUCCCCAAAUUUCCCGUCCACUCGCUCCUUGCCAGGCCUGAGUGUCCCCACGAUUUUGUUGAAGCUUAAUCUCCAAUGCAGUAGCGUUAAGAGCCGGGCCUUCAGGGGGUGAUUAGGUCAUGAGGGCUCCUCCCUCGUGAAUGGGUGGAGCUUAUACAUGCUUACAAAAGAAGCUUCACACAGCACUGGGGAGAAACCUGUUCCAUGGUGAAAAGUACAGCUUAACACACCUGUGUGAUGGUUUGAAGGCAGGGUUGGAAGCCUCAGAAUGUGGUGUUCUCGGAGUGAGUUCACCAUCACCCACAGCUACGAUGGAGUAGAAGACUCAAUCAUUAAAAUAACAGAUUUUUUUAAGCCAAAUUAUGGAAGCCUGAGGCCAUAAAGGCAAUGUUGAAAAUUCACUUUUCCCCUGAUUGUUAUACAAGAACACACAACAACAAAGUUGAACAGACUUGAAUGUAAAGUUUCUCACCAUGACUUAUUGUAAAAUAUUACAUCAUCAAGGAACAUGCAAAUGAAAUGUGUUUUUCUAGUUUUUCGGACGCCAUUCUCUCAGUCUCUAAGGCUUGGGAAGUAGCCAGCCUGAAGGACAACGAGGCAGUGUCUGAUCAUGGGGUGCUACUGAAAAAAGUGACAAAUGUUGGAAUGAUGUACGAUGUCCCCAGUGCUCUGAAAUAGAGGAGAGCUGCCUCCAUUUCCAAGGCGAGAGGUGGGUAUGGCCGAGGUGGGCCCAGGGCUACGCCUGGCGCGGCUGUGGCCUAGCAUUCAGUUGGUCUCUUCACUCCGGGGCCCAGGCCUUGCCUCUGCUCCUCGCCUUUGCUUUCCCUCAGAGCCGAGCCCGAGUCUCCUUCUCAGCUGCUCUCUCAGGGCAGGGAUCCCACUCAGCAGCAGGGCGCCAUGCCGGCAUAGCACCACGUCACCAGGAGAAACAAGACGGGGUGUGCCUGGGAAGCCUCUUCUGGGGCCCUGCUUACUGCCAUCACAGGCACCCUAGGGGCAUCCUUCGGGGUGCUCUCACGGGCUCUAGCCCCGCAAACAGGGUUGGAGCCGCUACCACAUCUGUCCAAGUGAUAUUAAACCUUGCAAGUCUUUCUUUUCUACUUUAGUGCGUGGGUGAAAUGAGAUAACCUAUCUCAUGCAUGAGAGUGCCAGUGGGUGUCCCUGUAGUUCCCUGGCAGGACGGUGGCCCCAUCUCAUGCAUGAGAGU
rnacentral:lncRNA from 1 species